rnacentral:rRNA from 1 species
CAGCCGCCGCGGUAAUACGUAGGGUGCAAGCGUUAAUCGGAAUUACUGGGCGUAAAGCGUGCGCAGGCGGUUUUGUAAGUUUGUCGUGAAAGCCCCGGGCUCAACCUGGGAAUUGCGAUGAAGACUGCAAGGCUUGAAUCUGGCAGAGGGGGGUAGAAUUCCACGUGUAGCAGUGAAAUGCGUAGAGAUGUGGAGGAACACCGAUGGCGAAGGCAGCCCCCUGGGUCAAGAUUGACGCUCAUGCACGAAAGCGUGGGGAGCAAACAGGAUUAGAUACCCCUUAGUCCCUGUCUCUUAUACA